ACUGGAGACUUGCCAUUGAUACUGUUAGUCUUGAGUACGGUCAAGGUAGGCGGAAUGUGUAAUGUAGCGGUGAAAUGCUUAGAUAUUACACAGAACACCGAUUGCGAAGGCAGCUUACUGGGCCAUUACUGACGCUGAUGCACGAAAGCGUGGGGAGCGAACAGGAUUAGAUACCCUGGUAGUCCACGCCGUAAACGAUGAUCACUCGCUGUUGGCGAUACACAGUCAGCGGCUAAGCAAAAGCAUUAAGUGAUCCACCUGGGGAGUACGGCCGCAAGGCUGAAACUCAAAGGAAUUGACGGGGGCCCGCACAAGCGGAGGAACAUGUGGUUUAAUUCGAUGAUACGCGAGGAACCUUACCUGGGCUUAAAUGUAGAGUGCAUGAAGUGGAAACAUUUCUUUCCUUCGGGACUCUUUGC
rnacentral:rRNA from 1 species